AUUGAACGAUGGCGGCAGGCCUAACACAUGCAAGUCGAACGAGUGGCGGACGGGUGAGUAAUGUCUGGGAAACUGCAUGAUGGAGGGGGAUAACUACUGGAAACGGUAGCUAAUACCGCAUACCAUCGGAUGUGCCCAGAUGGGAUUAGCUAGUAGGUGGGGUAAAGGCUCACCUAGGCGACGAUCCCUAGCUGGUCUGAGAGGAUGAACAGCCACACUGGAACUGGGACACGGUUCAGACUCCUACGGGAGGCAGCAGUGGGGAAUAUUGCCCAAUGGGCGCAAGCCUGAUUCAGCCAUGCCGCGUGUAUGAAGUAGGCCUUCGGGUUGUAAAGUACUUUCAGCGGGGAGGCGUUACCCGCAGAAGAAGCACCGGCUAACUCCGUGCCAGCAGCCGCGGUAAUUC
rnacentral:rRNA from 1 species